UACAGAGGUCUCAAGCGUUGUUCGGAUUCAUUGGGCGUAAAGGGUGCGUAGGUGGCGCGUUAAGUCAGGUGUGAAAUUUCGGAGCUUAACUCCGAAACUGCAUUUGAUACUGCCGUGCUUGAGGACUGGAGAGGAGACUGGAAUUUACGGUGUAGCAGUGAAAUGCGUAGAGAUCGUAAGGAAGACCAGUGGCGAAGGCGGCUCACUGGACCGGUACUGACGCUGAUGCGCGAAAGCGUGGGGAGCAAACGGG
rnacentral:rRNA from 1 species